AAAGCGUACAGCAUGAUACCGUGAAUUUGACGUUUGCUUGUUCGUUGUGACAAAUUUAAUUCGAAGAAAAAAAGAAUUCGGUUACAAACGCGUCGAUAAUUGAGAAUUAUGCAGAUUUUUGCUUGUGCAUAUUUAUGCAAAUAAUUGUGUUUCUUUAAUAUUUGUGAAUAUUUUGUGUCUUCAAGUGCAAUAAUAUUUGGAAAAAGGAUGGAUUCACCAGCGCUUUUUGAUGACACCUAUUUGGAGGAAUGCCCAACAACUUCUUCGACUCCCGUAAAAGGUGCAUGUAAAAUUGUCAUUUUAGUUUUUAGUUUAUUUUUACGCAUUCGUUAGUGUUGAACAAUUGACAUUUAAAUGGAAGAAAUUCAACAUUUCUGGUUGCUACAACUCAGAGGCAAGCUUCUCAAAACAACAAGGAAACAAGUUGCCUGUGGAUGGAAAUGAUGUUUUUAACAUGUUAAAAACUAUUUCCACCCAACUACAAAAGUUGUCAUCUGUACACUGACGAAUUCCUGACUUUGUGUAACUGGGACGGUAGGGGAGGCAAGC